UAUUACCCUAAUCUCACUUGGUUUCCAAGUGUAAGAAAAAUAAAAAGAGAGAUUUAUUAGAAGGGUUAUACAAGAUGCGAACAAGUUCAUCGAAGCUGCUCGUUGUGAUUAUGAUUUUUUCAUUCUUGGCGGCGCUUUUCAUAAUCUCCCAUGCUCAACCAGGUUUCUCCUACGACACUAAUCCGGUUUACUCUCCUGUACCUGCGAAUUGUUUUAAUCCACCUUAUUGCCAUCCAUGAGAGUUUCAAUUUGGUCACAUGAAUUACAAUCAAAUAAAUAUAAUAAGGUGAUGUAUGGGUGAAGCUUCAUAUAAGGAGAAUAAAAAGCUUGUGCGAUCCAUGUUAUGAUAUAUGCAGUUUGUAAUAAUGUAUACGGAUAUUGCUGGCUCAUUAAUAAGGAUUAUGAAUCCACGUUCGAACAUAACUAUAAAACAGUUUUUGAAAAUUUAGAUGAAAAUAAAGAAAAUUCGAAUUUUCUGUUUU